rnacentral:rRNA from 1 species
CCUACGGGAGGCAGCAGUAAGGAAUAUUGGUCAAUGGACGCAAGUCUGAACCAGCCAUGCCGCGUGAAGGAUGAAGGUCCUCUGGAUUGUAAACUUCUUUUAUAGGGGACGAAAAAAGGGCAUUCUUGCUCACUUGACGGUACCCUAGGAAUAAGCACCGGCUAACUCCGUGCCAGCAGCCGCGGUAAUACGGAGGGUGCAAGCGUUAUCCGGAUUUACUGGGUUUAAAGGGUGCGUAGGUGGGUCUGUAAGUCAGUGGUGAAAUCUCCGGGCUUAACCCGGAAACUGCCAUUGAUACUAUAGGUCUUGAAUACUCUGGAGGUAAGCGGAAUAUGUCAUGUAGCGGUGAAAUGCUUAGAUAUGACAUAGAACACCAAUUGCGAAGGCAGCUUACUACGGGGUUAUUGACACUGAGGCACGAAAGCGUGGGGAUCAAACAGGAUUAGAUACCCUGGUAGUCCACGCCCUAAACGAUGGAUACUCGACAUCAGCGAUACACUGUUGGUGUNUGAGAGAAGANAUAAGUAUACCACCGUACGGAGACGACCGACGAAGGUAGUAACGUUACGAAAGUAAGUUAGUUAGGCGNGAGAGNGCGACGGACGACGACGAGGGAGGAGG